UAAUGUAUGGGGAUCUGCCCGAUAGAGGGGGAUAACUACUGGAAACGGUGGCUAAUACCGCAUAAUGUCUACGGACCAAAGCAGGGGCUCUUCGGACCUUGCACUAUCGGAUGAACCCAUAUGGGAUUAGCUAGUAGGUGGGGGAAGGGCUCACCUAGGCGACGAUCUCUAGCUGGUCUGAGAGGAUGAUCAGCCACACUGGGACUGAGACACGGCCCAG
rnacentral:rRNA from 1 species